rnacentral:rRNA from 1 species
UACGUAGGGGGCUAGCGUUGUCCGGAAUCAUUGGGCGUAAAGAGCGUGUAGGCGGCCCGGUAAGUCCGCUGUGAAAGUCCAGGGCUCAACCCUGGGAUGCCGGUGGAUACUGUCGGGCUCGAGUCCGGAAGAGGAGUGUGGAAUUCCUGGUGUAGCGGUGAAAUGCGCAGAUAUCAGGAGGAACACCAAUGGCGAAGGCGGCACUCUGGGCCGGAACUGACGCUGAGGAGCGAAAGCGUGGGGAGCGAACAGG